ensembl:lncRNA
UCGGAGUGUGGUGUCAGGAAAACAACCUCACACUCAACGUCAACAAAACUAAGGAGAUGAUUGUGGACUUCAGGAAACAGCAGAGGGAACACCCCCCUAUCCACAUCGAUGGAACAGUAGUGGAGAGGGUAGUAAGUUUUAAAUUCCUCGGCGUACACAUCACAGACAAACUGAAUUGGUCCACCCACACAGACAGCAUCGUGAAGAAGGCGCAGCAGCGCCUCUUCAACCUCAGGAGGCUUAAGAAAUGUUCUUGUCACCAAAAGCACUCACAAACUUCUACAGAUGCACAAUCGAGAGCAUCCUGUCGGGCUGUAUCACCACCUGGUACGGCAGCUGCUCCGCCCACAACCGUAUGGCUCUCCAGAGGGUAGUGAGGUCUGCACAACGCAUCACCGGGGGCAAACUACCUGCCCUCCAGGACACCUACACCACCCGAUGUCACAGGAAGGCCAAAAAGAUCAUCAAGGAGUUCAACCACCCGAACCACGGCCUGUUCACCUUGCUAUCAUCCAGAAGGCGAGGUCUGUACAGGUGCAUAUAAGCUGGGACCGAGAGACUGAAAAACAGCUUCUAUCUUAAAGCCAUCAGACUGUUAAAUAGCCAUCACUAGCCGGUUACCACCCGGUUACUCAACCCUGCACCUUAGAGGAUGCUGCCCUAUGUACAUAGACAUGGAAUCACUGGUCACUUUAAUAAUGGAGCACUAGUCACUUUAAUAGUGUUUACAUACUGUUUUACUCAUCUCAUAUGCUGUAUUGUACUGUACUUUAGUCAAUGCCUGUGUCCUGUGUGAAUUUAAGUAUGCUCUCUCUAAUUCUCUCUCUUUCGGGAGGACCUGAGCCCUAGGACCAUGCCUCAGGACUACCUAGUCUGAUGACUCCUUGCUGUCCCCAGUCCACCUGGCUGUGCUGCUGCUCCAGUUUCAACUGUUCUGCCUGCGGCUAUGGAACCCUGACCUGUUCACCGGACAUGCUACCUGUCCCAGACCUACUGUUUUCAACUCUCUAGAGACAGCAGGAGCGGUAGAGAUACUCUGAAUGAUCAGCUAUGAAAAGCCAACUGACAUUUACUCCUGAGGUGCUGACCUGUUUGCACCCUCGACAACCACUGUGAUUAUUAUUAUUUGACCCUGCUGGUCAUCUAUGAACAUUUGAACAUCUUGGCCAUGUUCUGUUACAAUCUCUACCCGGCACAGCCAGAAGAGGACUGGCCACCCCUCAUAGCCUGGUUCCUCUCUAGGUUUCUUCCUAGGUUCUGGCCUUUCUAGGGAGUUUUUCCUAGCCACCGUGCUGCUUCACCUGCAUUGCUUGCUGUUUGGGGUUUUAGGCUGCGUUUUGUGACAUCAGCUGAUUAGGUGGCAGUGUAUUCACCUGUCAGUUGGUUGGAUUCGACAAUAAAACAAAGAAGAAGAAGCAGUACUCACAAGGUAAGAAAUCUGUCAGAGUGGAUACAUCUUGGGUGUACAUGCACAGAGGCAUACCCAAAGAUACGUAUUUCUAACUAACACAAGCUGUUUUUUUUGUUGUUUUUUUACAACUUUAGUCUAUAAAGUCUAUAAAACUUAGUGCACUGUGUUCAUAACAGAUUCUAGUUUUGGGAAAAUAAAAAGUAUGAGAUCAGA